rnacentral:rRNA from 1 species
AGAGUUUGAUCCUGGCUCAGGAUGAACGCUAGCGGUGUGCCUUAGGCAUGCAAGUCGAACGCCCCAUUUCGGUGGGGAGUGGCGAACGGGUGAGUAACACGUGGGAACCUACCCUUUAGUGGGGAAUAGCUCAUCGAAAGGUGAAGUAAUACCGCAUAGUCCCCUUCGGGGGUAAAGCAUUUAUGCGCUAGAGGAGGGGCCUGCGAGCUAUCAGCUUGUUGGUGAGGUAAUGGCUCACCAAGGCGACAACGGCUAGCCGAUGUGAGAGCAUGAUCGGCCACAAGGUUACUGAGACACGGAACCUACACCUACGGGUGGCAGCAACCGGGAAUAUUGCGCAAUGGGCGAAAGCCUGACGCAGCGACACCGCGUGUGGGAUGACACUCUUCGGAGCGUAAACCACUGUGGCGAGGGAUGAAUUUCUGACAGUACCUCGCUAGAAAGCACCAGCAAACCACGUGCCAGAAGCUUCGGUAAUACGUGGGGUGCGAGCGUUAUCCGGAUUCACUGGGCGUAAAGCGUACCGUCGGCGACUUGAUAAGUCUUUUGUUUAAGCCCGAGGCUCAACUUCGGAUCGGCAAAAGAAACUGUCAGGAUUGAGUGUGUUUGGGGAAGUUGGAAUUCUCGGUGGAGGGGUGAAAUCCGUAGAUAUCGAGAGGAACGCCAAUCGCGAAGGCAGACUUCUAAAACAUUACUGAC